rnacentral:rRNA from 1 species
GUUUACGGCCAUGCCACACUGAACGUCCUCAAUCUCGUCUGAUCUCAGAACCUAAGCAGGGUCGGGCCUGGUUAGUACUUGGAUGGCAGACCACCAGGAAUACCAGGUGCUGUAGGCA